rnacentral:rRNA from 1 species
UACGUAGGGGGCAAGCGUUGUCCGGAAUUAUUGGGCGUAAAGAGCGUGUAGGCGGUCCGGUAAGUCAGCUGUGAAAGUCAAGGGCUCAACCCUUGAAAGCCGGUUGAUACUGUCGGGCUAGAGUCCGGAAGAGGAGAGUGGAAUUCCUGGUGUAGCGGUGAAAUGCGCAGAUAUCAGGAAGAACACCCGUGGCGAAGGCGGCUCUCUGGGACGGUACUGACGCUGAGACGCGAAAGCGUGGGGAGCGAACAGG